UACGGGGGGGCGAGCGUUGUUCGGAAUUACUGGGCGUAAAGGGCGCGUAGGCGGUUUGUACAGUCAGGUGUGAAAUUCCCGGGCUCAACCUGGGGGCUGCACUUGAUACGUAUGGACUGGAGUGGGGAAGAGGGUCGUGGAAUUCCCAGUGUAGAGGUGAAAUGCGUAGAGAUCGGGAGGAACACCUGUGGCGAAGGCGGCCGACUGGGCCGACCCUGACGCUGAGGCGGCGAAGGCGUGGGAGCGAACGGGG
rnacentral:rRNA from 1 species